GACGAACGCUGGCAGCGUGCUUAACACAUGCAAGUCGAACGGAAAGGCCCUGCUUUUGUGGGGUGCUCGAGUGGCGAACGGGUGAGUAACACGUGAGUAACCUGCCCUUGACUUUGGGAUAACUUCAGGAAACUGGGGCUAAUACCGGAUAGGAGCUCCUGCUGCAUGGUGGGGGUUGGAAAGUUUCGGCGGUUGGGGAUGGACUCGCGGCUUAUCAGCUUGUUGGUGGGGUAGUGGCUUACCAAGGCUUUGACGGGUAGCCGGCCUGAGAGGGUGACCGGCCACAUUGGGACUGGGAUACGGCCCAGACUCCUACGGGAGGCAGCAGUGGGGAAUAUUGCACAAUGGGCGGAAGCCUGAUGCAGCAACGCCGCGUGCGGGAUGACGGCCUUCGGGUUGUAAACCGCUUUCGCCUGUGACGAAGCGUGAGUGACGGUAAUGGGUAAAGAAGCACCGGCUAACUACGUG
rnacentral:rRNA from 1 species